rnacentral:rRNA from 1 species
AUUAAGCAUAUCAAUAAGCGGAGGAAAAGAAACUAACAAGGAUUCCCCUAGUAGCGGCGAGUGAAGCGGGAAGAGCUCAAAUUUGUAAUCUGGCGUCUUUCAGGCGUCCGAGUUGUAAUCUAUAGAAGUGUUUUCCGUGCUGGACCAUGUCCAAGUCCCUUGGAACAGGGUAUCAAAGAGGGUGACAAUCCCGUACUUGACAUGACCACCAGUGCUCUGUGAUACACUUUCUACGAGUCGAGUUGUUUGGGAAUGCAGCUCAAAAUGGGUGGUAAAUUCCAUCUAAAGCUAAAUAUUGGCGAGAGACCGAUAGCGAACAAGUACCGUGAGGGAAAGAUGAAAAGCACUUUGGAAAGAGAGUUAAACAGUACGUGAAAUUGUUGAAAGGGAAACGAUUGAAGUCAGUCGUGUUCAUUGGACUCAGCCGGUUUUCGGUGUAUUUCCUUUGAACGGGUCAACAUCAGUUUUGUCCGGUGGAUAAAGGCAGGAAGAAAGUGGCUCCCUCGGGAGUGUUAUAGCUUUCUGUCACAUACACUGGAGGAGACUGAGGACUGCAGCUCGCCUUUUGGCCGGGGUUCGCCCACGUUUCGAGCUUAGGAUGUUGACAUAAUGGCUUUAAACGACCCGUCU